UACGAAGGGUGCAAGCGUUACUCGGAAUUACUGGGCGUAAAGCGUGCGUAGGCGGUUCGUUAAGUCUGAUGUGAAAGCCCUGGGCUCAACCUGGGAAUGGCAUUGGAUACUGGCGACCUAGAGUGCGGUAGAGGGGUGUGGAAUUCCCGGUGUAGCAGUGAAAUGCGUAGAUAUCGGGAGGAACAUCUGUGGCGAAGGCGAAUCUCUGGACAGUUACUGACACUGAGGCACGAAGGCCAGGGGAGCAAACGGG
rnacentral:rRNA from 1 species